ensembl:lncRNA
CAAUAAUGUUUAAUAUUUAGUAUUUACUGUCAUAUUCCCAUAUAUCAUUGUGAUGUUGUUUAUUCUAUUACUCUUGUUCUCUUCUGCUUGUUUUCUUUUUUCUUUCUCAGCAAGUGACCCAGGUGAUUGAUAUAUGCAUUUUUUUUUCUCUGCCCGUUCUGUUGGUUUUUGUCUUUUGCCCUUCUCCCCCGUCCCUCUUCUCAGCUGUUUCUCUUUCCCUCUUUCUUUCUCCCCUUCUUUCCCCCAGUCAAGUCUGUCCCGUAUUCACAUCCUGCCAUGCAUUUGUCCCUAACCAUCAGGAACCCUCACGUUAACUUUUAUCGAGUGGAAAAAGGUUAGCGUUCAUCAUCCAGCUUCACUGUGUUUAUGUUAUGCUACCAUAGCUGUUUAGCUAGCCACCAUGUAGCACAGUGGUUCCCAAACUUUUUUUCGCUGGGCCCCGCUUUGUUUUACAGAAAAAUGUUCGCGGGCCCCCCCUCGCACACACACACACGCGCACACACGCAUGCACUAACACACGCAUGCACUAACACAUCCUCCAACCACACACACCCAUAUUUUGCUCAAUUGUGGUUUAUUUCACACCUCAAACAUUUAGUAAACAAUUAAGCAAAUACAAGUAAUCUGCAGGUAGUAAGAAAAUAAACUACUAACUCGCUACGUCUGCACCUACACGGGUAUUUUUGAAAACGCAGCUGUUUCGUCCACACGUAAACGGCUUUUCGAAUCACCGAAAACUGAGAUUUUUUAAAACUCAUUUUUUGCGUUCACGUGUGGACGAGGAAUACAGAGUUCAUCACGCAACAUCAAAUGUAUGUGCCUAUUUUCACGUCAGCUGUGCGCCACGUUAUUGCUUACAUGAGAGGAAUUGCAGAAUGGCAGAUAAACCGUAUUUUGUCUCUAUCUUCAGGUUUUACACGCAGUUACUGUCCCUCUAUUUAGAAAGGCAGAGGCGUCACGGUGUAAUUAUUUUACAUGUAGUUGUUUUUUUCCUGUGUAAUAAUAUUCAACAUUGCUAUCAAUACAUUUUUCCAAAAAAAUGCCUCUCUGUGCAAAAUGGGUUCAAAAACAUAAACAGCUGUGGGAUACUGUUUGUCCAUGAUUUAGACAGGGAAAACAAAUCGUGGCAGGAUCAGCCUGAUGUUAUUUGUAUCCCACUGUAACUUUACUGUAUAAAGAGCUAAAAUCUCCAAAAUGUCAGGAGUAGUUAGUCAUUACAAGAAGUGUUUGUGAACUAAAAAUCAAGAAUGUGGGAUACUGUUUGUCCAUGAUUUGAAGAGCCCAGCGCUGCUCCCGACGAAGGAAAGACCAAUUCUGCAGGGGAGACCUACCUUGGCACUUGUGCUGGUGAAACCAGGGGAAGAUAUGCUUCACCAUAUUUUCUAGUCUUUGGCUUAGAAUGAAGUUGGUUUGGAAACAUAUUCAGCUAUGCUUCAUCUCCUGCUUUGCGUUUGUGUAGGCGCCCCGUGCUAGCAGUGUCCAAGCGUUGUUUUUGGUAUUUUUUCCCUUUUCAUGCCGCGCACCCCCUGCAAUGGCUCUGCGCCCCCCCUAGGGGGCGGGCCCCACACUUUGGGAAGGUCUGAUGUAGCACAUCAUUAUAUACCAGCUAGCCCAACUUCAGUAACC